CCUACGGGAGGCAGCAGUGAGGAAUAUUGGUCAAUGGCCGUAAGGCUGAACCAGCCAAGUCGCGUGAAGGCAGAAGGAUCUAUGGUUUGUAAACUUCUUUUAUAGGGGAAUAAAGGUAUCCACGUGUGGAUAUUUGCAUGUACCCUAUGAAUAAGCAUCGGCUAACUCCGUGCCAGCAGCCGCGGUAAUACGGAGGAUGCGAGCGUUAUCCGGAUUUAUUGGGUUUAAAGGGUGCGUAGGUUGUUUUUUAAGUCAGCGGUGAAAGUUUGUGGCUCAACCAUAAAAUUGCCGUUGAAAAUGGAAGGCGGGAGUGUGUUGGAGGUAGGCGGAAAGCGGGGUGGAGGGGUGAAAUGCAU
rnacentral:rRNA from 1 species